rfam:Echinostoma caproni strain Egypt genome assembly, scaffold: ECPE_scaffold0007323
GCACUGCUGAUGGGUCCCAAACAGGACGAAACAGCUGUCCAGUGC